rnacentral:snRNA from 1 species
AUGCUUACCUGGCAGGGGAGCUACCAUGAUCAUGAGGGUAGUUUUCCCAGGGUGAGGUUUGUCCAUUGCACUCUGGAUGUGCUGACCCCUGCGAUUUCGCCCAAAAUGGGAAACUCGGCUGCAUAAUUUGCGGUAGUGGGGAACUGCCUUUGUGCUCUCCCAU